UCCUUGGUGGCUCAAUGGUAAAGAAUCUGACUGCCAAUGCAGGAGAUGCAGGUUUGAUUCCUGUUCAGGUAA
rfam:Ovis aries breed Texel chromosome 10, whole genome shotgun sequence.